rnacentral:rRNA from 1 species
CAAGGCGAUGAUACGUAGCCGACCUGAGAGGGUGAUCGGCCACAWUGGGACUGAGACACGGYCCAWACUCCUACGGGAGGCAGCAGUAGGGAAUCUUCCACAAUGGACGAAAGUCUGAUGGAGCAACGCCGCGUGAGUGAAGAAGGUUUUCGGAUCGUAAAACUCUGUUGUUGGAGAAGAACGUACGUGAGAGUAACUGUUCACGUAGUGACGGUAUUCAACCAGAAAGCCACGGCUAACUACGUGCCAGCAGCCGCGGUAAUACGUAGGUGGCAAGCGUUAUCCGGAUUUAUUGGGCGUAAAGCGAGCGCAGGCGGUUUUUUAAGUCUGAUGUGAAAGCCCUCGGCUCAACCGAGGAAGUGCAUCGGAAACUGGGAAACUUGAGUGCAGAAGAGGACAGUGGAACUCCAUGUGUAGCGGUGGAAUGCGUAGAUAUAUGGAAGAACACCAGUGGCGAAGGCGGCUGUCUGGUCUGUAACUGACGCUGAGGCUCGAAAGCAUGGGUAGCGAACAGGAUUAGAUACCCUGGUAGUCCAUGCCGUAAACGAUGAAUGCUAAGUGUUGGAGGGUUUCCGCCCUUCAGU